GUCGAACGGGGAUGCAUUAAGAAGGAGUGCUUGCAUUCCGGAAGGAUGCACUUUUAGUGGCGGACGGGUGAGUAACGCGUGGGUAACCUGCCCCAUACCGGGGGAUACCACCUGGAAACAGGUGCUAAUACCGCAUAAGCGCACGGGAGCGCAUGCUCCUGUGUGAAAAACUCCGGUGGUAUGGGAUGGACCCGCGUCUGAUUAGCCGGUUGGCAGGGUAACGGCCUACCAAAGCGACGAUCAGUAGCCGGCCUGAGAGGGUGGACGGCCACAUUGGGACUGAGACACGGCCCAAACUCCUACGGGAGGCAGCAGUGGGGAAUAUUGCACAAUGGGGGAAACCCUGAUGCAGCGACGCCGCGUGAGUGAAGAAGUAUUUCGGUAUGUAAAGCUCUAUCAGCAGGAACGAGACAAGACGGUACCUGACUAAGAAGCCCCGGCUAACUACGUGCCAGCAGCCGCGGUAAUACGUAGGGGGCAAGCGUUAUCCGGAAUCACUGGGUGUAAAGGGAGCGUAGACGGCUGAGCAAGCCUGAAGUGAAAGGCGGGGGCCCAACCCCUGGACUGCUUUGGGAACUGUACGGCUGGAGUGCAGGAGAGGUAAGUGGAAUUCCUAGUGUAGCGGUGAAAUGCGUAGAUAUUAGGAGGAACACCAGUGGCGAAGGCGGCUUACUGGACUGUAACUGACGUUGAGGCUCGAAAGCGUGGGGAGCAAACAGGAUUAGAUACCCUGGUAGUCCACGCCGUAAACGAUGAUUACUAGGUGUCGGG
rnacentral:rRNA from 1 species